AUUGAACGCUGGCGGCAGGCCUGACACAUGCAAGUCGAGCGGAUGAGGAGAGCUUGCUCUCUGAUUCAGCGGCGGACGGGUGAGUAAUGCCUAGGAAUCUGCCUGGUAGUGGGGGACAACGUUUCGAAAGGAACGUUAAUACCGCAUACGUCCUACGGGAGAAAGUGGGGGAUCUUCGGACCUCACGCUAUCAGAUGAGCCUAGGUACGAUUAGCUAGUUGGUGAGGUAAAGGCUCACCAAGGCGACGAUCGUUAACUGGUCUGAGAGGAUGAUCAGUCACACUGGAACUGAGACACGGUCCAGACUCCUACGGGAGGCAGCAGUGGGGAAUAUUGGACAAUGGGCGAAAGCCUGAUCCAGCCAUGCCGCGUGUGUGAAGAAGGUCUUCGGAUUGUAAAGCACUUUAAGUUGGGAGGAAGGACAGUAAGUUAAUACCUUGCUGUUUUGACGUUACCGACAGAAUAAGCACCGGCUAACUUCGUGCCAGCCGCCGCAGUAACAC
rnacentral:rRNA from 1 species